rnacentral:rRNA from 1 species
AUGCCGGAGUCACCCACGAACCCGACCAAGCCCCCCUCGCCGCCGGGAUCGCCGGCCAAUACAGCCACGCCGUCCGCGGCCUCGGCGCUGCUGCGAAUCGCCGUGCUGUCCAUCGCUUUCCUAGCGGUCCAGCUCAUGCUCUUCAAGAACCUCCACAGAUUCCCGACCACGCGGUUCCUCCCACCCCCGGCACGCUGCAACAGCACCUGGGCUAACGGCGAGGUUGAGCCCGGCGCGUGCGAGGCCGGGAUCAUCUACGUCUACGACCUCCCGCUGGAGUUCAACCAUGACCUCGUCACGCACUGCGAGCGCCUUUGUCCGUGGUACUCGUUCUGCCCGUAUCUGACCGAUGGCGGCUUGGGCCGUCCGGCCGCCACGGUGCCGGGCUUCUCCGCCAUCGUGCCCAACGCGUCGAUGCCCAGCUGGUACAACACCGACCAGUUCCCUCUGGAGGUCAUCAUCCACCGCCGCCUCCUCUCCCACCGGUGCCGCACCACCGACCCGUCGCUCGCGGACGCGUUCUACGUGCCCUUCUACGCCGGCCUCGACGUCGGCAGCCACCUGUGGGGCCUCAACGCCACCGUUGCCGACCGUGACCGCGCCGGCACACGGCUCCUGGAGUGGCUCACGAACCAGACGUCCUUCAAGAAAUCCGGCGGGUGGGAUCACUUCAUCACGCUGGGGCGCAUCACGUGGGACUUCCGUCGGUACUACGACGACGGGUGGGGCACCAACUUCGCGAUCAGGCCCGGGAUGGCCAACGUCACCCGCCUCGUCAUCGAGGCCGACCGGCUUGACCCCCUGGACGUCGGCGUCCCGUACCCGACUGGCUUCCACCCGCGCACCGCCGCCGACGUGCGCGCGUGGCAGCGGCACGUGCUGGCCCUCAACCGCACCAACCUCUUCGGGUUCGCCGGCGCCCAGAGGUCCGGGUUCAAGGACGACUUCAGGGAUGUGUUGUUGGAGGAGUGCGAGGACGCCGGGAGAGCGCACUGCCGCUCCGUGGACUGCAGCGGCACCAAGUGCAAUGACAAUGCCACGACGGUGAUGAACCUGUUCCUUGAUUCCAGGUUCUGCCUGCAGCCGCGCGGGGACAGCUACACGCGGCGGUCCCUGUUCGACUGCAUGGUGGCCGGGGCCGUGCCGGUGCUGUUCUGGCGGAGGACGGCGUACGACCAGUACCGGUGGUUCCUGCCGGUUGGCGAGCGGGGGAAGGAGAGGGAGUGGUCGGUGUUCAUGGACCGGCAGGCGCUGCGUGUGGGCAACGUGAGCGUGCUGGAUGUUCUGCAGGGGUUCAGCGAGCAGCAGGUCCGGCGGAUGCGGGAGCGCGUCGUGGAGAUGAUCCCCAGGCUGGUGUACGGCUCGUCGUCCGACGGGCUCGGCGACGGCAUGGAGGACGCGCUGGACGUGGCCCUGAGUGGCGUGCUCAAGCGGUUCCGCCGGCGCCGGCGGAGCAUUGCGCGUGAAGAAGAGGGCCCUCCUGCUCCUCUGGUCGCUCGACGCGUCAACAGCACAUCGACGACGCCUCCUGCUUCCAACGGCAACAAUAGGCCGGUGAUCCGGCGGGGGCGCCGCCGAUACGUCUCACGGGACAGAUCGAGGAGGGCGUUUUGGCCACACAUAAGAACCGUCAUCCCCCCAGCACCGGCAUCAGGACGCCAAAGCUUGCAAACAUCAUGA